UCUGUUUAUUCGCGUCUAGAGUUUCCUAGGGUCUCGGUGUUCUUAGUUAUUUCUGCUUCAUAAUUUGAGGGGUUUAGUAAUAAAUUACUUAAUACCUGAUAGUUGUGGGAUUUGGUGGUCGAUAACUCGAGUCAGUCCAUUUUAGCACUUCAUCACUUGUCAUAUUGUAAGGUUCGUUUUACCUUCCGGGGGUUUAUCGGGUUAGGCAGAGUCUUCAUUCAGAACCAAGGUUAGGAUUUUAUUCAUGAGUCUAGGGAUUCUUGCCUAGGUAACCUAUUUUUCCCAUACUUGAGUUUCAGUCCAGUCUCUAGAUGUCUGUGUUUGCUGUUGUUUGGUCGUCUAUAUUGUUAAAUUGCUUUUUAGUUUAAAAAUAUUUUUCUCAAAUCCAAAACAAUUAAACCAGUUAAGUAUUAGUUGAGUCAGAGUCUAGUUUAGCGUCGCUAGUGUCUCGUGGGUUCGAUACUCGGACUUUAUUAGGCUUUACUAUGUACGAUAGGUACACUUGCCUGUCAGUGGUCUAGCAUUUAGAGUCUUAGUUUAUAAAUUUAAAACCAGGGUGUCUAGAUUCGGUUAGUAGUUUUUAUUAGACCAUAAUUUGCACAUCAUUAAGUUAUUAACUCUGUAAAGCAUGUAACACUAUUGAGCCAGUUAACUCCGUUAAGUAUGUUAAGUCUGUUAAGCCUGUUAAGUGAUAACUAUGUUAGAAUAGACUGAAAAAUCAAAAUGUGAAGCAUGAAUUAUGCGAACUUGAUUAACUGUUUACGUGUUACAUGAUGUUUACUGCCAAGCACACUUUGUGGCAUAGAUUGUAAGUGAAACCUUACAAACAUGAAUUGAUUGUGUAUACGUGCAUGUUAUUGGAUUUGACUGAUUAUUUGUGAGCACGUAAUUUAGCGUACCGAGCAAACCAAGGUGAGUUCACACUUUCUACAAGGCAUGGGAUUCCCGGUGGUUUGGGAAUGGGUUAAAUAAUUAAAACGGAACCUACAUAUCCUCCUUGGGUAGGAUAUACAAACAUGAACUGAUUGUGUAUACGUGCAUGUUAUAGGAUUUGACUGAUUAUUUGUGAGCACGUAAUUUAGCGUACCGAGCAAACCAAGGUGAGUUCACACUUUCUACAAGGCAUGGGAUUCCUGGUGGUUUUGGAAUGGGUUAAAGAAUUAAAACGGAACCUACAUAACCUCCUUGGGUAGGAUAUGUACCGCCAUCCUCCUUGGGUAGGAUGCCAAUAUUAAUCAUGCGUAUUCUCCUUGGGUAGAAUACGUACGUUCGUCCUCCUUGGGUAGGACAACAACCUUACAACUUGCUAGACAAAACUCUAUCAUGAAGUCCCUCAUUUUAUAUCGACUUAAUCGCCGAGGCUGAUGGCGAGCGGGUCAUUAGUUAAUAGCGCUAUAAGGUUUGACAAACCUCACAUCGUGUCGUUCGAAUGGGCGUGUACUAAUGGAUCAUGGCAAACUGUCAAUGAUGAUAGACAUUGACGUAGGGCACUACUAUUGUUCGUCAGUCGUCGAUAUGGUAACGGUCUAGUGGUUAACAUGGGGAAGCCCCCACUGAUUAUGGAUAUGUUUGGGAAACAGGGUACUUUCGGAGCUUGCACGAGGAGGCGUGGACGUUGUGGGACAUGGAUAAUCUUAUGGCAUGAUUAAACAUUUGAUAUUUGAACUUAUACUUUGGAUUUAAACAUUAUGCUUCCGCUUACAACUUAAACUACAUUUUGUUUGGAC
rnacentral:lncRNA from 1 species